CAUCUGUUCCAGGAAGGCAUCAUCUAUGUCCUCCGUUUGGCUUGGGGAUCUAUAGUAAACUCCCACAAUGAGGUCACUGUUAUUCUUCUCUCCCUUAAUUUUGACCCAAAUGCUCUCACUUUGGCUUUGAGGUUCUAAAUCUUGGAUCUCUUCACAGGUAUACACAUCCCUGACAUAUAACACCACUCCUCCUCCUUUCUUGUCUGGUCUGUUUCUCUGAAAUAGAUUGUAUCCCCCCCAUUAUUACAUUCCAAUCGUGGGACUUAUCCCACCAGGUUUCAGUGAUGCCUAUUAUGUCAUAUUUAGUUUGCUGUACCAAGAGCUCAAGCUCAUCUUCUUUAUUUCCCAUGCUUUGUUCAUUAGUGUACAGACAUUGAAGUCCAUUAAUCAUUCCCCCGUGUCUCUUAUUUAAAGAUUUUUUCCUCCCACCACUAGGUCUGCGUGCUGUUUGCUCCAUUUGGUCUAUGACAUUUGGAUGAUCAUCUUCAUCAAUUGCUAGACUCCUACCUUCAGGAGCACUGUCUCCCUCCCCCACAUUAGUCAGUUUAAAGCCCUCCUGAUGAGGUUUCUGAGAUUUUUGGCAAAAACAUUUCUCCCUACCGUUGUGAGGUGCAGCCCAUCGCUUGCCAGAAGUCCAUCUUCAAGAAACUGCAGUCCGUGAUCUAAGAAUCCAAACCGUUCCUGUUUACACCAUUUGCGAAGCCAGCUGUUCACUUCCACUAUUUUCCCCUCUCUCCAUGGGCCACGUCGUUCAACUGGGAGGACAGAUGAGAUGACAAUUUGUGCAUUUAAUUGCUUCAAUUUCCUGCCCAGAGCCUCGUAGUCUCUUUUGAACUUCUGGAGGCUAUUGCUUGCAGUGUCAUUGGUUCCCACAUGAACCAAGAGGAAGGGGUAUUUGUCAGUGGGUUUUAUGAUUCCUUGCAGUCGUUCAGUUACAUCUUGGAUCUUAGCCCCGGGGAGACAGCACACUUCCUGAGACAUCUUGUCAGGCCCACAGAUCACUGCUUCUGUUCCCCUCAGUAGGGAAUCCCCUAUCACCACUACACGCCUCCUCUUAGGUUUGGUCGGGGUUCUUCCGUGAAUUAGCCAAAUGGAUUGGAAUAGAAUUAGCCAAAUGGAUUGGAAUAGAAGAACAGGAAAUGAGAAAUAAAAUUAAGAGAGCCUUUAGAAUCAGAUCAAGAAUUGCAAGAGCUAAUAAUUAGCCAGGGGACUGUCUGGUAACUUUUGUGAAUAUGGAUAUUAGAGAUAAAAUACUACAAAUUAGCAGUAAGACAAAACUUAAAUUUCAGGAAACAGACAUAAUCAUUCAUAAAAUUGUUCCAUCGAGGCUUUUAAGAAACAGGGAAAAAUAUAAACCAUUGGUGGGAGCACUAAAUAAAAAAUCAAUUGUGCACAGAUGGGAAUUCCCUGAGGGAAUUUCCUUUUUUUACAAAGGGAAAAGGAGAAGAUUUGUUACUUGGGAGGACGGUGACAAAUUUUGGAUAACAUAUAGAGACGAGUUAGGAGGUAAAAGACAGCUGGGAGGAGGGGCAGAUGAUCUUAAAAAACAAUCCGAGGAGGAAGACUCUUAAGCAUUAAGGACAAGUGACUUUUCUGAAUUUUUUUUUAUUUAAUUUAUUUUUUUGUUAAGAAGUUGAAUCACUGUGUAGUAAAUAAUGGAAUUAAGGAUUGUUACCUGGAAUGUUAAUGGUUUAAAUGAUAAAGAGAAAAGAAAUAACGUGCAAUUUAUACUCAGCAAACAGAAAUUGGAUUUGAUAUGUUUGCAAGAAACUCAUAUCACAAAACAACACACAAGAAUUUUAUCCAAUAAGAAACUGGGACUUCAUUUUGUUUCUUCAGAUAAAUCUAAGAAGAAUGGCAUUGUAAUAUAUGCAAAAAAGCAUUUGGAGCCAAAAUUGAUCUAUAAAGAUUCACAAGGAAGGGUCGUUGUCAUAGAAAUAAUAGUCCUGGGGGAAAGAAUUAAAGUUAUCGGUUUUUAUGCACCGAAUGAAAAAAAAAGUGAAUUUUAUCAAAAGUUGGAACGAGAGUUGGGGGAUUUUUUUUUUUAUUAUUUAAAAUAAAUUCAUAUAUCUUUAUUAAAAAGUUAGCUCAUGACAGUUCAGACUUCAUGGGGAUCAGGUCGUCUGUAGCCUCUGGACAUAUUAUAGCCUGAGCGUCUUCAGGUUGCCAACAAAUUACUGAAGCAAGGUAAUAACUCAACUCACUUCAUGGCAGGAGAGAUCACAAAUGACCAGUGCACCAUGUAAGUACAGCCACAAGAGGGUUUGGUUUAAGACAGAUGAUUAAGGGAGAUGAUUGCAUGAUUCCAGGCAAUAUCUGCUUCAGGUGUUGAUUAUCACGGUCAAACUUUGUGAAGAGCAGCGAUGUGCACAGGCCCAUCAGAUUUGCUGCAUAUGUGUAGUAUCCUUCCAGUGAUGGAUUUUCGGCCGCCCACUUCUCCUGGAGAGCGAUGAUAUUAAAGUUUUGACGGUAGAAGGGAAUGUCUGUAGAAUGGGAGAGGCAUCUGGACUAGCCGGCAACAUUCCAGGAGAUGAUGUUUAGGGCAGUAGUUGGUUCUUAGGUUUUUAGAUUCCAGGCACUCAUAGCUGUUUUCUGCUGCUGAUUCCUCGGGUCCUUUGGGUUUGGCUUGAUUGAGCCGCGAUGCGGAGGAAUGGGUGAGCCUUUUGGGGGGAAGGCUAAUUUGGGGGUAUUAAUUUGUCUGUUCAGGCAGUCACCCGCUAAGACCUUAUUUCAUUCCUCUGCAUGAAUAGCUUCUAGGAUUCCCCGGCAGUCCAUGAAGAUUGGGCCAAUUCCUGGCGCUGGCACCACUAGUUCGAUUUGUUGCAAUUUGGACUGGGCUGUUGGUGGGGGUGUAGGAGAGCCCGUUUCUUCUAGAGCCAGAUAUCGACAAGUUGUCCAUUCCUCGUUAGUUAAAGGCUUUGAUUUACAAUUGAUGUAAUUAAAUUCCAUGGGAGGAGGCGGGGCUAGAGGUGGAAGGAAGUUCCUUAUGGUCGAUAGUCUUUCAAUUAGUGCAUCCUGGGAAAGUAGAAUCUGCUCGAGAUAGGUUGUUAGGAGUUGUUCUUCCUUUGACGAGAAAUCCUUUUCUAGCUUAUUUGGCGAGGGCGGGGUUUUGUACAACCUGCCAGAUUGUUUAAGGUUGCCAGCCUCUGGGUAGAGCAGCUUACCGUUUCCAGCGCUGUUGGAUUCUGCAGUGCUGGUUUUGGUUUUUGGUCUGACUGGCCUAUGUGCUCCUAGAAGUGGUAAAGGGUCUUCGAUGUUUUCGAACAAACGGUGCACAAGCAAGCCAGCCCUCAGGAAAUUGUUUUUAUUAGAAAGGAUCUGUUUAGUUGAGAGCCUGUUCUUAAAAGUCACUAUAGCCCUAUUUUGGGCCGUAUCACGAGGGAGGAAUUUUACCUUGAUGAUAUUUUGUGCUGUCACAAGGCCCCUGGUAACUAUUCCGAUUUUUUCGGGAAUAUUUACUUUUCUUUGAGCAUAUAAUGGAUGACCUCUAUUUGUGGGAAGUAUUAUGAAGGCAAGUUUAUGUUUGUUUAGCAUUAGCUUCCAACAAGUCUGUGUUGUUUUAUCGUGAUCCUUUUUUGUUAUUGUAAUGGGUUUAGGGGUUGCUCGUGCGUAAGUUACUGCCACUCCUGGCUAGGUUACCUGGUUAACCCUUUCUGACUGAACAGCCUCCAGCAUCGUGACUGUCUCAGUCGCUGGCAGAAUCCGUCAGUGGACGUUUCUUAAACUUCUUCCAGCACAAAAGUUCCUUGAAGCCAAGUCUCCUCCUACUCUCCCUGCGCGGAAGUCUUCUGCGCAGGGAGGGUGUGGGCAGUGGAGUACCCGUACUCUCUCCGCUGGUCUCCGGUGAGGAGUCUUGGAGCCUCCUCCCCGAUUCCCCCACCUGCCCCCCUUCUCUACUGGUGUUACGCUGAUUUCCUUCCCCAGCAGACGGGCUCCCUCUCUCCCUACUGGGACCCUCUCCGCCAUCCCUUUGGAGCCUUCCCUCCGCUUCCAGCUCCGAUGGCAGUUCCCUGACAGUCAGGUAGCAGGUUUUAAGUUGAAUAAGACGAAAACUAAAGUUUUAGAGAAAAAUCUAAAUGAGAUUGAGAGAGACAAGUUCCAGAAGGAGACAGGAUUGACAUUGGUUAAGAAAGUGAAAUAUUUAGGGGUAAAUAUGACUCCGACUUGCUCAGCUUCCUCGAGAAAAAGGUACAUGGCUUCCAUUCCUGCUUGCUCCUCCCUGGCUGCAAAAGUACCGCCCCAAUGGCUCUGUCGGACGCGUCGGUCUCUAGCCUCAUGGGUUUCUCCAGAUCAACGUGUAGGAGCUGCUCUUCCGAAGCGAACGCCUUCUUCAGUCUUUCAAAGGAUUGCUGGGCACUUUCUGUCCAGGCGAACUUCCUUUUGCUACUGAGACAAUCUGUGAUGGGCAAAGUUCUUGAUGAACUUCCUGUAGAAGUUGCUGAACCCUAGGAACCUCUGCACAUCCUUCCGGGUUUUGGGGGCUUUCCAUUCCAGCACUGCCUGCACCUUGCUUGGGUCCAUAGCCAGUCCCUUGUCUGACAACUUGUACCCCAGAAACCCGACCUCUCUGGUGUGAAAUUGGCAUUUUUCCAGCUUGACCCACAACUGGUGCUUCUGCAGCCUCUUUAGCACUUUCCUGACGUCUCUGACAUGUUGCUUCUCAUUGUCUGAAUAGAUUAAGACAUCGUCCAAGAAGGCUACGCAGUUCUUGUACAGCAGGGACCCCAACACGUGGUGCAUGAAUGCUUGAAAGCAGGCGGAGCCCGAUUGUAAUCCAAAUGGCAUGACUAAGUACUCAAAAGCCCCCAGGGGGGUGAACAUGGUGGUCUUCCAUUCGUCCCCCUCCCUUACCCUGAUCAAAUUGUACGCUCCCCUGGGGUCCAGCUUGGUGAAAAUUUUCCCCUGCCUCACCUGUUUUAAAAUGUCAUCAAUCCUGGGCAUUGGGAAGGUCACAGGUUCAGAUACCAGGUUUAGGGCCCAGUAGUCCACGACCAGCCUGGGCUGAUUAGUCCCUUUUUUGUCCACAAAGAACACAGGACUGCCCCCCACCGCCUUUGAUUCUCUUAUGAACCCCCUCUUCAGGUUCUUGUCAAUAAACUGCCGUAACUCCUGCAUCUCCCUGUCUGACAUGGCAUACAGCUUACCCACCGGCAGCUGAGCCCCGGGGAUUAAGUUGAUUUGGCAGUCAAAGGGCCUAUGGGGGGGUAGUCUAUCCACCUCCUUCUCGCUGAAGACUUCCUUUAGGUCAGCGUAUGGUGGAGGCACCUCUCCCUUUGUUUCCACCGCCAGCCCAGCCACCCUGGCCACUGUCAUUCUUGGGGUAUCCCCCCCCCCCCCAGACAGUGUUCCGAACAGUAAGCUGACCCAAAGGUGACUGACAGAUUGCUGUAAUGGGUUUAGGGGUUGCUUGUGCGUAAGUUGCCACCACUCCUGGCUAGGUUACCUGGUUAACCCUUUCUGACUGAACAGCCUCCAGCAUCGUGACUGUCUCAGUCGCUGGCAGAAUCCGUCAGUGGGCGUUUCUUAAACUUCUUCCAGCACAAAAGUUCCUUGACUCCAAAUCUCCUCCUACUCUCCCUGCGCGGAAGUCUUCUGCGCAGGGAGGAUGUGGGCAGUGGAGUACCCGUACUCUCUCCGCUGGUCUCCGGCGAGGAGUCUUGGAGCCUCCUCCCCGAUUCCCCCAUCUGCCCCCCUUCUCUACUGGUGUUACGCUGAUUUCCUUCCCCAGCAGACGGGCUCCCUCUCUCCCUACUGGGACCCUCUCCGCCAUCCCUUUGGAGCCUUCCCUCCGCUUCCAGCUCCGAUGGCAGUUCCCUGACAGUCAGGUAGCAGGUUUUAAGUUGAAUAAGACGAAAACUAAAGUUUUAGAGAAAAAUCUAAAUGAGAUUGAGAGAGACAAGUUCCAGAAGGAGACAGGAUUGACAUUGGUUAAGAAAGUGAAAUAUUUAGGGGUAAAUAUGACUGCUAAGAAUGUGAAUUUAUUUAAGGAUAACUAUGAAAAAUGUUGGACGGAAGUGAAAAAGGAUUUAGAAAUAUGGUCAAAUUUGAAGCUAUCAUUGCUAGGUCGAAUUGCUGUGAUUAAAAUGAAUGUAUUGCCAAGAAUAUUAUUUUUGUUUCAAACAUUGCAAAUUUUGGACAAGAUGGACUGUUUCAAGAAGUGGCAGAGAGAUAUCUCUAGAUUUGUCUGGCAGGGCAAGAAGCCUCGUAUAAAAUUUAAAAUAUUAACAGAUGUUAAAGAAAGAGGUGGAUUUGCCCUGCCAGACCUUAAACUUUAUUAUGAAUCAGCCGCAUUUUGUUGGCUGAGAGAAUGGAUGCUUCUUGAAAAUACGGAUGUGUUGGAUUUGGAAGGUUUCAAUAAUGUAUUUGGUUGGCAUGCAUAUUUGUGGUAUGACAAGGUUAAAGCACAUAAAGCGUUUAAAAACCAUAUUGUUAGAAAAGCACUGUUUAAUGUUUGGGUAAGAUAUAAGGAUUUGCUAGAAAGCAAAACCCCAAGAUGGCUGUCACUAAUGGAAGCAAAGGCUCAGAAAAAACUCAAUAUGGAGGCCAAAUGGCCGAAGUAUUGUGAAAUUUUGGAACAAGAGGAGACAGAUUAAAAUUGCAGAGUUUUGAAAAACUAAAAAUAAAGUGCGAGAUUGGCUCCAUUAUUAUCAAAUAAUGGAGGUAUAUAAUGUGGAUAAAACAAUAGGCUUCCAAGUGGAAAAAUCAAAACAGGAAACAGAAUUGUUAGACUCUAAAGUUAAGAAUUUGUCAAGAAUGUAUAACUUGCUGUUGAAAUGGAAUACUCAAGAUGAAACGGUGAAAUCUGCUAUGAUUAAAUGGGCACAAGAUGUGGGACAUAACAUUAUGAUGGCUGACUGGGAACAGUUAUGGACCACAGGUAUGAAGUUUACGGCAUGUAAUGCCUUAAAAGAGAACUUAAUGAAAAUGAUUUAUAGGUGGUACAUAACACCAGUCAAGCUUGCAAAAAUCUAUCAUUUGCCUGAUAAUAAAUGUUGGAAAUGUAAGGAGACUGAAGGUACUUUCUUUCACCUUUGGUGGACAUGCCCAAAGAUUAAGGCUUUCUGGGAAACGAUCUAUAACGAAAUGAAAAAGGUAUUUAAAUAUACCUUCUUGAAGAAACCAGAGGCCUUUCUCCUGGGCAUGGUCGGCCAAUUGGUGCCAAAUAAGGAUAGAAAUUUUUUUAUGUAUGCUACGACAGCAGCAAGAAUUCUCAUUGCAAAGUACUGAAAGACACAAGAUCUACCUACCCGGGAAGAAUGGCAGAUGAAGCUGAUGGACUACAUGGAACUGGCAGAAAUGACUGGCAGAAUCCGAGACCAGGGAGAAGAGUCGGUGGAAGAAGAUUGGAAAAAAUUUAAAGUAUAUUUACAGAAAUAUUGUAAAAUUAAUGAAUGUUAGAAGGAUGCUGGAAAGAAGUUAUAUGACUUUAGCAGAAAUGUUAUAAAGAAUUAAGUAUGACUAGAUUGACAAUGGGUAAAGGUGCAAAACUUAAGGUUAAAUUGCGUUAAGAUAAAUUAUGGAACUAAAUUUGAGAAAGAGGGAAAGGAUUUGCUGGAAUAAUUAAUUGAACUAGAAUACAAAAAAAGGGGGUGUGAGGAAGUCGAGGAAAUAAGCAAAUGAAAGAUAAGGACAUGAAAAUACGGGGGGGGGGUUGUUUGUUUUUUCUUCUAUUUUUUUUAAAGGUUUGUGUUUUUUAAAUGUUUCUGUUUUUUCUUUUUUAAUGUUUUGAUGUACUGUUGUUGUUUUGUUUUAUUGUGAUUUGGAUUACAAGGCGGCAGUCCGUGUUUCCAGGCCUUCAUGCACCACGUACUGGGUCCCCUACUGUACCGGAACUGCGUUUGCUUUUCGGAUGACAUCUUGAUCUUUUCUGAGAAUGAGGAACAGCACAUGAGGGAUGUUCGGCAAGUGUUGGAGAAGCUAAAGGAGCAUCAGUUAUGGGUCAAGCUGGAGAAAUGCCAGUUUCAUGCUCGGGAGGUCGAGUUCCUGGGGUACCGGCUGUCAGAUAGAGGGCUUGCCAUGGAUCCGGAGAAGGUGAAGGCAGUGUGUCAGGGAACUGCCAUCGGAGCCAGGUGGAGAGGGAGGGCUCCAGAGGGAUUCCGGAGAGCGUCCCGGGAGGGAGAGAAGCAGCACAUCUUCUGGGGAAGGAAAUCAGCGUAGCACCAGUGGAGAAGGGGGGCAGAUGGGGGAAUCGGCGAGGUGGCUCCAUGACUCUUCACCGGGGACCAGCGGGGAGAGCACGGGUCCUCCGCUGCCCACACCCUCCCUGCGCAGAAGCCUUCCGUGCAGGGACACUAGGCGGAGACUAGGCGUCAAAGAACUUUUGUGCUGGAAGAAGUUCAAGAAACGCCCACUGACGGAUUCUGCCAGCGAUUGAGACAGCCACGGGCGAGUGGCUGUCCGGACAGAAAAGGUUCACUCAGGCAACCCAGCCAGGUGGGGCACCGAUUUACGCACGAGCAACCCCUAGAACCAUUACACAGUGUUAGACUGGAAAAGCCCGAAGACAAAGAAGGAUGUGCAGCGGUUCCUUGGCUUCAGCAACUUCUACCGAAAGUUUAUCAAGAACUUUGCACAUCUGUCGGCGCCCAUCACUGAUUGUCUCAGUGGGAAGAAGAAGUUUUUGUGGACAAAGGAGGCGCAGCAGGCCUUUGAAAGCUUAAAGAAGGUCUUUGCCUCCAAGGAGCAGUUCCUGCACGUGGAUCCUGGCAAACCUUUGUUUUUUUUGUUUUUUUGUUUUUGUUUUUAAUACAUCUUUAUUGGUUUAAAAUACAAUCUUACAAUAAAGGUAAGUACAACAAAAAACCUCGAUAAAGUUAUUUUUGAGUUCCUUGUAAUGUGUGGUCUCCCCAGCAAGCUUUCUGCAGCACAACUAAACUGAAAAUAGCCAACAAUUGUCUGUUAGAUUACCAUUUAUUAUUAACCUUGCUUUUUGUUGUUCAUAUAUUGUCUUUAUUCCUUUUCUGAAUUUUGUUCCUAGACCUAUAACCUCCAAUUGUUUAUUCAUAUAAUGCCACAAAACAUUGCUGAAUGCCUUUUCUGCAUCGAGUAAUAAUAAGGCAGCUUUUUAUCAUUUUUGGCUUCUAAAUAUUCUAAAAUGUCUAUAAUGUUUGUAGUAUUGGCCGAGAUUUGUCUUCCUGGGAGGAACCCGGACUGAUUUGGGUGUAUAAUUUCACUGAUGGCCUCUUUAAGUCUAUUUGCCAGCAUACUGGCAAAAAGUUUGUAAUCGCAAUUUAAUAGCGAUAUUGGCUGUCAGGGAACUGCAGGCAGCGAGGGAAGAAAGAAUUAGAGGAUACAGGGAACGAUCCCCACUGAUCAGUACUGAGUCCUCCUCAGAAGACAGAGAAGAGGAUAGUGAGUCUGGGGAGGAAGGGGUGCUUCAGAGAGAAGGGGAUCCACGUCACAGGGGAAAACGGAAGGGGCUGAGCCGUUGGCUCUGUUGGUCUCGAGGGAGAGGGAAAAGAGAAAGUAGUUAAUGAGAGACGGGUCGCUUUGUUUAUUCAGCAUGUAAUCUUGUCUGAAGAAAAUAAAGAAAGGAAUUUAUGGCUGGCUGCUGGGAGUGUCUUUCUGCUAAGUGCAGCAACGCGUGCAGCUGGCAAGCUGACAGUUUGCUCUAACUCAUUCACACCCAGCUAAUGAGCACUCGAGAGGAGAGUGUCGGCAAGGAGAAAAGCAGGAUGGAAGCUCGCCUUGCACAGCUGGAAAAAGAGAGGAAUGAUUUAUUGGCUACAUCACAGGAUUUAAGAAUUCGUUUGGAAGUGGAAGACACAAGAACUUCCCACGCUGGAGGAAUGGCAGAUGAAACUUAUGGACUAUAUGGAAUUGGCGGAAAUGACUGGUAGAAUCCGUGACCAGGGAGAAGAGUCGAUGGAGGAAGAUUGGAAGAAAUUCAAAGACUAUCUUCAGAAACAUUGCAAAAUUAAAGAAUGUUAGAGUGAUGUUGGACUGAAAAUAAGCGGUUUCCAGCUGUACAGGUUAAAGUUAAUGAUAGACUAAGAUUAAAGAUUAGGAUUAAAGAUGUUUAAAGAAAUGGAAAUUUGAUAAUAAGAGGGAAAAUUUUAACGUUAUAUGAUAUUAAGACCAAAGAUCAGGUUUAAAGAAGUUGAAGUUAUAUAUUUCAAUAUCUUAUUAAAGCUAAAGAUUGGGAUUAAAAAAGUGGAAAAGAAACUGCUGGACAAACAAUUUGGAUUGGAAUACAAAAGAGGGAGGUAUGAGGAAGUCCAGAAAAUAAGUAACUAAAAAAUGGAAAUGGAAAAGAGAUAUUGUUUUUAAUUGUUAUGUUUUCUGUUUUUUUAUUGUUGAAUCUUGUUUUUUUUGUGUGUGUUUUGUUAUAUGUAUUGUGUAUGUUUUUCUUUUCUUUCUUUGUUGUUUAAAAUGUUAAUAAAAAUUAUUUAAAAAAAAAAAAAAGAAUUCGUUUGGAAGAAGCCAGGGCCAGAUCUGAAGGAACUUCUGGAGGGGGCUUACUGAACCGGUCUUUGACGCUGGUAAGCAAAUUCAAUGGGGACCCCCGAGUAUACACGGGCUUCAAACUGGACAUGCAGUAUGCCCUAGAACUACAAGGAGCUGCUUUUGCUGGGGAUGCUGACAAGGUGGGGUACCUUAUAGGCCAUUUGACGGGGGCAGCGCGAGAUUGGGUACGCCCACUGCUUGCUAGCCACAAUGCUGCGCUCAGCGAUCUCAAACAAUUCUGGGAAGCCAUGGACAUUAUGUUUUCAUUUGGAUCUGAGGAGGAUGUGACUCAGCAGCAGCUAUUGGAUCUCCGGCAGGGGAACUCAACUGUGUCCCAAUUUGCGAUGCUGGUCCACAAGCUUGAUUGGAGCUUAGACUCUCCACCUGUGCAAGCUCUGUUUAAGGCCGGACUGAAUUCUCAGGUGAAAGAUGAGCUUGCCAGGGGCCCCCGACACCAGGACUUGAAUUCCCUCGUUAAAGCUGCUCUGGCGGUGGGCAGCAGGCAGGAACUGAGGCAGCUAGAGAAGGCUGAGAGCAAAGGCCGGCGUUCCCAUGGUGAUCGCAUUCCUGGCAUACCAAGGGAGGGAGAGCAAGGUCACUCUCGCUCGGAGCCGAUGGAAAUUGACUCUGCCCGCGCGCGGGAAGAUUCAAAGGCUCAACGGCCAACUCACAAGGCGGCAGAAAACGGGCAGGCUGCCAAGAAAUGCUUUAUCUGCCAGAAACCAGGGCACUUUGCCAGAGUGUGUCCUGAACGCCACAACUGGCAGGGAAUGGUGGGGGUUUCCUCCCAGAUGGGAGAGGGGGGAGUCCAAAAGCAGGGAAACGCCAGUGCCUGGCUGGGAAUGGGACGGGGCAGCAGCCAGGCAGGAAUGGAACUGAACCAGAGCCCCGACCAGGACGUCCCCAACCAGGCAUAAUUGUGAGGGUGUUGCUGGAUCUCCCCAAUGGACAGGCUAUGGAGGUCCAUGCCCUGUUGGACUCAGGAGCGAGUGCCAAUUUCUUCAGCAGGGAUUUCGCUGCGCAGCACCAAUUACAUUUACUACCUUUGGACUUUCCGCUACAAGUGACUACCAUUGAUGGGAGGGAACUUUUGGGAGGGGAAGUGACCCAUCAGACCCCCCCCCACAUGAGAAUGAGGAUUUCAACGCAUUCCGAAACGAUUGCUUUCCAUGUGGCAACUCUGGCGGGCCCACCCAUCAUUUUGGGCAUGAGUUGGUUGGCCAUGCACAAUCCGGUGGUCUCCUGGCAUCAGCGUAACCUGAUGUUUGGAUCGGCGCAUUGCUUGGAGAACUGUUUGGGGGUAAAGGAGCCGCGAGUUGGUAGUGCCAGAGUGGCGGCUACGUGUGCAGGAGAGAAAGGCGGCAUUCCUCCAGAAUAUAUGGACUUGGCAGAGGUUUUCAGCGAAAGAGAGGCAGACACGCUGCCGCCGCACAGGCCGUACGAUUGUCAGAUCAACUUGAUCCCGGGGGCCAAGUUACCGGCAGGAAAACUGUACACUAUGUCCGAUCAGGAGAUGGAGGACUUAAGAGCCUUUAUAGACAAGAACUUAAGGAGAGGUUUCAUUAGGGAGUCUAGGGCAGUAGGCGGAAGCCCCGUGUUCUUUGUGGACAAAAAGGCCACGCGAGAGAAACGUCUCGUCGUAGACUUCCGGCGAAUCAACGCCCAGACGCUCCCCAUGGCCUUCCCAAUGCCAAGAAUUGAUGACGUAUUGGCGAGGGUGCGAAAGGGGAAAAUUUUCACCAAACUGGAUUUGAGAGGAGCCUACAAUCUCAUCAGGGUGCGAGAGGGGGACGAGUGGAAGACAACCAUGUUCACACCACUAGGGCCUUUUGACUAUCUUGUUAUGCCCUUCGGUUUACAGUGUGGUAGUCCGUGCUUCCAAGCCUUCAUGCACCACGUGUUGGGACCUUUGCUCUACAAAAACUGCGCUGCAUUUUUGGAUGACAUACUUAUUUACUCUCCAGAUGAAGAACAGCACGUUAAGGACGUGCGGGAAGUUCUAGCUAGGCUCAAGGAGCAUCGCCUAUGGGUGAAACUGGAGAAGUGUCAGUUUCACACGAGAGAGGUCGAGUUCCUGGGCUAUAGGCUGUCGGACAGGGGUCUGGCAAUGGACCCAGAGAAGGUCAAAGCGGUGGUGGAGUGGAAAAGCCCCAAAACGAGGAAGGAUGUUCAGCGGUUCCUGGGCUUCAGUAACUUCUACCGGAAGUUCAUCAAGGACUUCGCACGGCUGGCAACCCCCAUAACGGAUUGCCUCAGUGGCAAGAAGAAGUUUGAGUGGACGGAUGGGGCACAGAGGGCCUUUGAGAGUCUAAAGAGAGUCUUCGCCUCCGAGGAACAACUGCUGCAUGUCAACCCUGAACUACCACUGCGGGUGGAGACAGAUGCGUCUGAUCGAGCAGUUGGAGCGGUUCUCAUGCAGCAAGAUGGGGAGGGGGAGUGGCAUCCAUGUGCCUUUUCCCCCCGGAAGCUCAAUAAAUCGGAAGUGAACUAUAGUAUCUAUGAUAAGGAAUUGCUUGCUAUUGUGUCUGCGUUCAAGCAAUGACGACAUUUUUUGAUUGGAGCGAAGCAUCAGACACAGGUGUGCAUGGAUCACAAGAAUUUGGAGUACUGGCAGACGGCGAGAGUGAUGUGCCAGAGGCAAAUACGCUGGGCACAGUUCUUUGCCAACUUCAACUUCAAGAUUCAGUACGUACCGGGUGAUCAGAACGAGAGGGCGGACGCUUUAUCCCGUAAACCCGAGUAUUUGGCAGAGGAAGGACCACCGACAGCCCGGUUCAUGUUCCCCGAGCAGAGGUGGGCUUGUGGGGCAACAUUAGUGAAGGACGACGAACUACUACGCUUGAUGCGGGAUGAUGCUUUUGCCAGAGGAAAGUUAGAUGAACUUGGGCAAGGGAGAGGGGCUGAGGGAGGUUUCGAGGAAAAAGGGGGGCUAUUGUUUUAUCGAGGGGCUUUGUAUGUACCAGGGGAAGCUCUCCAGGCCCGAAUCCUCCGACAACUGCAUGACAGCUCGAUGGCAGGACACUUUGGGCAACAUAAGACCAUGUUGUUGGUCACCAGGGAAUUUUGGUGGCCUAAGGUGAGGGAAGAUGUGAAGGAAUAUGUGCGAGGGUGUGAGACCUGUCAGAGAGCCAAAGGGGAGAGGGCGGCUCCGGCAGGGUUAUUGGAGCCUCUGCCAACACCAGGGAGGCCAUGGGAGGUGGUAUCAGUAGACUUCAUCACUGACCUGCCCCGGUCCAGGGGGAAAACGGUGGUGUUGGUGGUGGUGGAUCUACUCACCAAAAUGUGCCAUUUUGUGGCGUGUUCUCAUGCGGUAACUGCGGAGGAGACAGCCAAAUUGUUUGUGGAGCACGUGUUUAAGUUGCAUGGGGUCCCUUCGAGGGUCAUUUCGGAAAGGGGACCCAAUUUAUCUCAAGGUUCUGGCGCAAACUCAUGAGUUUGUUGCAAGUGGAGGUAAGUUUCACCACCGCCAGACAUCCCGAAAGCAAUGGGCAGGCGGAAAUGGUCAAUGCAGUAUUACAGCAGUACCUGCGUUGUUAUGUGGGGGAGAGGCAGAACUAUUGGGUGGACAAAUUAGCGCUGGCGGAGUUUGCAUACAACAACUCUGAGAAUGUGUCCACAGGGAUGACUCCGUUUUUUUGCAAAUCAUGGGUGCCAUCCUAGGGCUUUCCCGGGGAGGAGGGAGGAAUCGUGGAGUGUGCCAGCCGCUGAACAGUUCACGGAGGAAAUGGAAGCAAUUCAACAACAACUGAAGUUGAACUUGGAAAGGGCCAAGGAGGUAUACAAGAGGCAAGCAGACAAGCAUCGGAGGGAAGGGGAAACCCUCCGGGUGGGGGAUAAGGUGUGGUUAUCAACGCAAGGCUUGCCUUGGAAAGGGGGUUGUAAGAAACUCAAACCCAGGAGGGUGGGUCCCUUUGAAAUCAUACAGCAAGUCAACCCGGUGGCCUUUAAGUUGAGGCUGCCAGAGAGCAUGAAAAUUCAUCCCGUGUUCCACUGGUAGCUAUUGUCGGCUUACCGGCUGGGCAGAAGGGAAGGGGAGGUGCCACCGCCAGAAGUCGAGGAAAGGGAGGGGGGACACCGGAUAGAGGAAAUAUUGGACUCGCGUUGGAAGGGUAAUCAGCUGGAGUACCUUGUAGCUUGGGAGGGGGCUCCCAGUUCGGAUAACACAUGGGUGCCGUCAGAUUGGGUCACGGAGGAGGGUUUAGUGGAGGACUUCCACUGCAGGCAGCGAGGGAAGAAAGAAUUAGAGGAUACAGGGAACGAUCCCCACUGAUCAGUACUGAGUCCUCCUCAGAAGACAGAGAAGAGGAUAGUGAGUCUGGGGAGGAAGGGGUGCUUCAGAGAGAAGGGGAUCCACGUCACAGGGGAAAACGGAAGGGGCUGAGCCGUUGGCUCUGUUGGUCUCGAGGGAGAGGGAAAAGAGAAAGUAGUUAGAGCAACGCGUCAUGAGAGACGGGUCGCUUUGUUUAUUCGGCAUGUAAUCUUGUCUGAAGAAAAUAAAGAAAGGAAUUUAUGGCUGGCUGCUGGGAGUGUCUUUCUGCUAAGUGCAGCAAUGCGUGCAGCUGGCAAGCUGACAUUGGCCUAUAGUUGGAUAUUCACUCUGGGUCUCCUCCCUGUUUAGGUAUUAAUGUUACGCAGGCUUCCUUCCAUGAGUCUGGAAUCUUUCCUUUAUUAAGAAUGUUGUUCAUUACUUCAACCACUGGAGCUGUUAGGAUUUCCUCCAUUUUUUUAAAUAGAAUUCUGCUGGGAGACCUCCUGGGCCAGGUGUUUUUCCUGAUUUAAUUUUCUUGAUUGUGUUCCUAAUUUCUAAUGUUGUUAUCGAGGAGUCGUGCAUUUGUAUUUUUUUUUAUUAUAUCGCUGGUAUUUUCUGUUCGUGGAUUAAGUUGUCUACUUCUUCUUUUGCGUCUUUCUCUUUUUUAUAUAGAUUUUCAUAAUAUUUUUUAAAUUUUUGUAUUAUUACUUUUGGAUCAUCUAUAUUUUUCUCUUCUAUUUUUAUUCUGUUUAUUUGUCUUUGGUUUUGCCUCUUUUUCAAUUGCCACGACAGAUAUCUUCCGGGCUUGUUGACAAACUCAAAAUUAUUUUGUUUCCACAUUUCCACAUUCCACUCUAUUUCCUGUUCUAUUUUGGACAUAUAUUCUGCCUGUAAUAACUUAAUCUCUUUCUUAAUUGUAUCAUUAUUUGGUUGUUUGAUUUGCUCUUUUUCUUUUUUUCCUUAUUUCCUCCAUUAAUUCUAUUUUUUUCUUUUCGCUUUCCUUUUUUAUUCUUACACCUUGUUUUAUAAAGUAUCCCCUGAUCACUGCUUUACCAGCAUCCCAGAGUAUUCUUACAUUAUCAACUUGGUUUUUAUUCAAUUCAAAGUAUUCUUUUAUUGCAUUUUUAGCUCUCUCUAAUAUUUUUCCCUCUUUCAGUAAUGAUUCAUUCAAUUUCCAUCUACAUAUUCCUGAUUUCCAGUCUGCUUGUAGUUUUAACAGAACUGAAUCAUAGAAUCAUAGAAUAGAAUCAUAGAAUCAUAGAAUCAUAGAGUUGGAAGAGACCACAAGGGCCAUCGAGUCCAACCCCCUGCCAAGCAGGAAACACCAUCAGAGCACUCCUGACAUAUGGUUGUCAAGCCUCUGCUUAAAGACCUCCAAAGAAGGAGACUCCACCACACUCCUUGGCAGCAAAUUCCACUGUCGAACAGCUCUUACUGUCAGGAAGUUCUUCCUAAUGUUUAGGUGGAAUCUUCUUUCUUGUAGUUUGGAUCCAUUGCUCCGUGUCCGCUUCUCUGGAGCAGCAGAAAACAACCUUUCUCCCUCCUCUAUGUGACAUCCUUUUAUAUAUUUGAACAUGGCUAUCAUAUCACCCCUUAACCUCCUCUUCUCCAGGCUAAACAUGCCCAGCUCUCUUAGCCGUUCCUCAUAAGGCAUCGUUUCCAGGCCUUUGACCAUUUUGGUUGCCCUCCUCUGGACACGUUCCAGUUUGUCAAUGUCCUUCUUGAACUGUGGUGCCCAGAACUGGACACAGUACUCCAGGUGAGGUCUGACCAGAGCAGAAUACAGUGGCACUAUUACUUCCCUUGAUCUAGAUGCUAUACUCCUAUUGAUGCAGCCCAGAAUUGCAUUGGCUUUUUUAGCUGCCGCGUCACACUGUUGGCUCAUGUCAAGUUUGUGGUCAACCAAGACUCCUAGAUCCUUUUCACAUGUACUGCUCUCAAGCCAGGUGUCCCCCAUCUUGUAUUUGUGCCUCUCAUUUUUUUGCCCAAGUGCAAUACUUUACAUUUCUCCCUGUUAAAAUUCAUCUUGUUUGUUUUGGCCCAGUUCUCUAAUCUGUCAAGGUCGUUUUGAAGUGUGAUCCUGUCCUCUGGGGUGUUAGCCACCCCUCCCAAUUUGGUGUCAUCUGCAAAUUUGAUCAGGAUGCCCUUGAGUCCAUCAUCCAAGUCGUUGAUAAAGAUGUUGAAUAAGACCGGGCCCAAGACAGAACCCUGUGGCACCCCACUAGUCACUCUUCUCCAGGAUGAAGAGGAACCAUUGAUGAGCACCCUUUGCGUUCGGUCAGUCAGCCAGUUACAAAUCCACUGAGUGGUAGCAUAGUCAAGACCACAUUUUACCAGCUUCUUUACAAGAAUAUCAUGAGGCACCUUGUCAAAUGCCUUGCUGAAAUCAAGGUAGGCUACAUCCACUGCGUUCCCUUCAUCUAGCAGGCUUGUAAUUCUGUCAAAAAACGAGAUCAGGUUAGUCUGACAUGACUUAUUUUUCAGAAAUCCAUGCUGACUAUUGGUGAUCACAGCAUUCCUUUCUAGGUGCUCACAGACUGACUGCUUAAUGAUCUGCUCCAGAAUCUUCCCUGGUAUUGAUGUCAGACUGACUGGGCGGUAAUUAUUUGGGUCCUCGCUUUUCCCCUUUUUGAAAAUAGGGACAACAUUUGCCCUCCUCCAGUCUGCCGGGACUUCGCCUGUUCUCCAGGAAUUCUCAAAGAUGACUGCCAGUGGUUCUGAGAUCACAUCUGCCAGUUCUUUUAAUACUCUUGGAUGCAGUUCAUCUGGCCCUGGAGACUUGAAUACAUCUAGACUAGCCAAGUAUUCUUGUACUAUCUCCUUAGUUAUUCUGGGCUGUGUUUCCUUUGCUGAAUCAUUUGCUCCAAAUUCUUCAGGUCGGGCAUUGUUUUCUUUAUCGGAGAAGACUGAGGCAAAGAAGGCAUUGAGGAGUUCAGCUCUUUCUGUGUCCCCUGUUUGCAUUUCACCAUCCUCUCCUCUGAGUGACCCCACUGUUUCUUUGUUCUUCCUUUUGCUACGAACAUACCCAUAAAAGCCUUUUUGUUGCUUUUAACCUCUCUAGCAAGCCUGAGUUCAUUCUGUGCUUUAGCUUUUCUGACUUUGUGUCUACACGUGCUGGCUAUUUGUUUGAAUUCCUCUUUGGUGGUUUCCCCCCUUUUCCAUUUUUUGUACACAUCCUUUAAUCUUAACUCAGUUAAAAGUUCUUUAGAUAGCCACCCUGGCUUCUUUAGGCACCUUCCAUGUUUCCGUCUCAUUGGUAUUGCCUGACGUUGUGCUUUUACUAUCUCCCUCUUAACAAACUCCCAGCCAUCAUGAAUUCCCUUUCCUUUUAGUAUUACUGUCCAUGGGAUCUCAGCCAGCACUUCCCUAAGUUUUAUGAAGUCGGCUUUCUUAAAGUCAAGAAAUUGAGUCCUAGUAUGCUUGGCUGCUCCUUUCCGCUGUAUAGUAAACUUCAGAAGAGCAUGAUCACUCGCGCCUAAUGAUCCUUCCACUUCUACCCCACUAACCAGGUCAUCAACAUUGGUUAGGACCAGAUCUAAAAUGGCUGUUCCUCUUGUUGCUUCUCCCACUUUCUGGACAAUGAAGUUGUCUGCAAGGCCAGUGAGGAAUCUGUUUGACCUUAUGCUCUUGGCUGAGUUUGACAUCCAACAAAUAUCCGGGUAAUUGGAGUCCCCCAUUACUACUAUCUCCCUUCCUUUUGCAUGCUUGGCCAUCUGUUCCAGGAAGGCAUCAUCUAUGUCCUCCGUUUGGCUUGGGUAUCUAUAGUAAACUCCCACAAUGAGGUCACUGUUAUUCUUCUCUCCCUUAAUUUUGACCCAAAUGCUCCCACUUUGGCUUUGAGGUUCUAAAUCUUGGAUCUCUUCACAGGUAUACACAUCCCUGACAUAUAACGCCAGUCCUCCUCCUUUCUUGUCUGGUCUGUUUCUCUGAAAUAGAUUGUAUCCCCCCAUUAUUACAUUCCAAUCGUGGGACUUAUCCCACCAGGUUUCAGUGAUGCCUAUUAUGUCAUAUUUAGUUUGCUGUACCAAGAGCUCAAGCUCAUCUUGUUUAUUUCCCAUGCUUUGCGCAUUAGUGUACAGACAUUGAAGUCCAUUAAUCAUUCCCCCGAGA